GGUUUGGUUAGGAUUUGGUUUAAGGUUUAGGAUUUAGGAUUUCGUUUAGGAUUUGAUUUAGAAUUUAGGAUUUGGAUUAGGAUUUGGAUUAGGAUUUGGAUUAGGAUUUAGGAUUUGGUUUAGGAUUUGGUUAGGGAUUGAUUUAAGGUUUAGGAUUUGAUUAAGGUUUGAUUAGGAUUUGGUUUAGGAUUUAGGAUUUGUCUAGGAUUUGAUUAAGGUUGGACUAGGAUUAGGGGUUGGUUAGAAUUUAAGGUUUUAUUAGAUUUUUGUUAGUAUUUGACUAAUUUUUCUUUGAUAUUCUUUCAUAUUUCUUUAGGAUUUCUUUGUGUUUCUUUUAUAACUUCAAUAAAAUUUAAUUGAGCUUGCUUAAUAUUUGAUUAUGAUUGUUAACAUUUAAUUGUAAAUUCUUUAUAAUCCUAUUGGAUUGUUAGGAUAUUUUUUUGCAAUUUUUUUUUACCUUCCACAAUCAGGUGCUCAGUGCAUUUUCAAACAAGACUUCACGUUAUACGACAUAUUUGGUGAACCCGACGUGAAAAACUUGAGGUAGGAGAUAUUUGGAGUUUCUUUGAUCUAUGUGGGUUAUGGAGAAGGAAGGAAAGAGAAUGGAAGGAGGAGCUUUUGGUGGUGCUUCAAGUAGAGUUGGAAGUGGAGCUUCAAUUGAAAGACAAGGUAUGUAUUUUGAUCUCAACUAUGCAAGCAUGUUUGAGGUAUUGGCCUUAUUCAUGCAACAACAAUAAGUUAAAGAUCGCAAAGAGGGCAUGGUAGAUAAAGCAUUACAAGCUGUUGUAGACAAGAUUGAUCAAUUUGAAGGGAAGGAUAUUACAAAAUAUUUAAGGUGUUACGUAAAAAAAAUGGAAUUGUAGUAUAUUUCAGAGAAGGAGAUGGUUCAGCUAUUUGAAUUGGUUAUUGCACCAGAAAUAAGAAAUCAUGUAAAAUCCAUUAUAGGACAUUUUGGAGGUUCAUGGAAAAAAUUAUCUCAAGCAUUAAAGGAUGAGUAUUUUUUAGAAGAUAGUGACCGAGUUAUAAAGAAGUCAUUCUUUGAAUGGAUUGAAAGGCCUAAGAAGGAUCUACUAGCAAUGGAGUUACUAAGGGAGUUUAAAAAGCAAUAUUCUUAUUUAUCAAAGAAGGAGAGGUAAUUAUUAGAUCCAAGUAAAGUGGAGCUUUUUCUUCAAGCGACUAAUGUAGAGUUGCAAGAGAAGUUGGAAAUUUUGCUGGAAAAUAAAGAAGAAGUUGAAGGAUUGACAAAAAAUUGGGAGAAAGUAGAAGAGGCAAUUGGGGUACUUGCGAAAAGAGAAAGGAGAAAAGAUAGGAUAGAAAUUCAAAGACUAUUGCAAGCAUCUAAAGGAAAAAUGCCUGCUAUCUAUCCUACAUCUAUCAUUCAACCUUCAAUGGCUACAUCAAAGAGAGUAGAAAUGGACAUUGAUAAAAUCAUACGAGGGAUGAGAGAUUUGCAAAUAAAAUUUAUAAAACUUGAAGAGAUCAGUCAAUCAUCAAGAAUAUCAACAAGACAAAAUUUAAGACCAAUAGAAAGUAUGGUACAAAUCAUGAAAAAAAUAGGGAUAGUUUGAGGGAACAUCCUUUGCCAAAGAUACAUAAAGAAUUUAAAGAUCUUGAAGACUCAAAGGAUUUUUACUAGAUGCCAUUGUAAAGCAGAAUUGCAAUGGUAAAAAGAGUGAAGGCUUCCCGCCUAAUAGAAAGGAUGAAGAUAUUGUAGGAUUAUCGCAAGACGGAUAUAUUUUAUUCAAAAACAUAAAUAAUUUUAGUAGGAUAGAUAAGAAAAAUGUUAAGAAUAUAGAACAGGGAUUAAAGAAAUGUGGAAUAAUUGGUGAAGAUGAAUACAUUUCAGGGAUGUUUGAAGAAUCUAGUUUUGGUGAUACUAUGAAUGAUUUACAAAUAUUAUUGAAUGAAGAUUUUGAAAGAGGUAAUAAAGUAAUAAAUAUCUAUUCUAAGAAAUUUUAUGAUGGAAUAAAAGAAUAUAUGGAUAGAUAUGAAGUGAAGGUGAACAAAAAAUAGAAGACUGUUGCAAAGAAGAUUAAACCAAUGGCAUUGCCACUACCAUCAAAUUUUGAAGAAAGAAUUAAAAGGGCUUUUAUGCAACCUAAUUUAAGAGAUGUAAGGAAAAUAGGCCAUGAAUUCAAGGAUAAUUUGAUGUUAGAUGGUUUGAAAAUUGGAUGUGAUAAAUUGGAUGUGAAAAAGGCCCAUUUGCCAAAGCUAGUUGAAUUAUUCAAUGAAAAAAUUAAGAUGGGAAUUUUAGAACCAUCUAUUGCACCAUAUUCCAAUCGGUAGUUCAUAGUACCUAAAAAAAAUGGAACAUUGAGGUUUAUUCAAGAUAUGCAACGAGUAAAUAAAAAAACUAUUAAAAACAUAGGCUCAAGUUCAAUUGUGGAUGAGUUUGUAGAGGCAUUUGCAGGGAGAUCAAUUUAUUCUAUAAGAGAUCUUUACUCAGGAUACGAUCAAUUUCAAUUGGCAAUGCAAAGUAGAAAUUUGACAACUAUGAAGAUACCAUUGGGAUUGGUUAGAAUAUGUACAUUACCACAAGGGGCUACAAAUUCUGUGGCACACAUGAUGAAUGGAAUGCAUAAGGUACUAUGAGAUUUCAUUUGAAGAAUAAUAAUGCCUAUUCUAGAUGAUGUGCCAAUUAAGCGAUGUGAAGAAAAAAAAAAGGAUGAGAUAUUGGAUUCAAAGGGAUAUAGGAAGUUUGUGGCAGAUCAUAUUGAUGAUUAUGAGAAGAUUUUGAUAAGGCUAGAAGAAGUUCAUUUAAUCUUAUGAGGGACAAAAUCAAUAUUUGGAAUAAAAGAAGUUUUGGUAGUAGGGCACAUGUGUGGUUCAUAUGGAUGUAAACCAAGUAGGAAAAAAUUUGAUAUUAUAAAAAAAAUGAAAGAGUGUGUAAAUACAACAGAAGUCAGGAGGUUUUUAAGAGCAUGUAUUUUCUAUCAUAUAUAGAUACCUCAUUUUGUACAUAUAGCAAAUUUAUUAUAUGAGUUGUUACAAAAGAAUAAAAAAUUUCAAUGGAAAGAAGAACAAAGAAAAGCUAUAGUAAAGUUAAAAGAAUUUCUUUCUUCACUUCCAACUUUGAAGAAAGUAAAUUAUGAAUGUGGAAGGCCAGUAACAUUAACAGUUGAUGCAAGUCCAAUUGGAGUAGGUUGGACAGUUGGACAAGAUGAUGAACAAGAGAAUACAUAUGUAGUAAGGUUUGGAGCAAAGAUUUUGAAUGCUAGACAAAGGAUAUAUGCACAAAUCAAAAGAAAAUUAUGGAGUAUAUUAAUAGCUAUGAAAAAUAAAAGGGAGUAUUUGAUUGGUGCAUCAAUAGUUGUUGAAACAAAUUGUCUACCUUUAUUGAAUAUGAUUACAAGUUAUUCAACUUCCAAUAUUGCUAUAUUAAGGUGGAUGGCAUAUAUCAAAUCUAUAAAUCUAGAAUUUAAACAUAUUACAGGAAAAGAAAAUUCAAUCGUAUAUAUGUUAUCAAGAGCAAGGUAUUACGAUGAAGAAGAUAUGAUAGAUUUAGAAGAUGAUGUGGGUACAAAUUUUUAUACUAAUGGAUUAUCAAAGGAAGAAAGUAUAUGUUUGAAUAUACCAUUAGAAACAUUUUCAAGAGAUCUAUAUGAAGAAGAAUGGAAAGACAUUGAGGAGUAUUUAAGCACAUUAAAGUGACAAGAUAGUUGGACAGAUCAAGAAUUUAAGAAAAUUUGAAAGAAAGCCUAUGGAUAUUUUUUACAUGAUGGAUAUUUAUGGAAGUAUCGAAAGAAGAGAGGAGAAGUACCACAACGAGUGAUAUGUGGUUUAGAAGCUCAACAAAAGAUUAUUAAGAAAUUUCAUGAAAGUUUAUGGACAAGGCAUCGAGGUAUUUGGACAACAUUUAUUAAGUUGAAAGAAAAAUAUUGGUAGAAGGGCAUGUAUAGGGAUGUGGCGGAUUUUUUAGGAUCUUGUGAAACUUACCAAAUAUAUUCAAAUAUUCAUCAUCGAGAUGGUUUACAUCCUUCAUAUCCAUUAGUAAUUCAUUAUAAAUGGGUGGUUGAUUUAGUUGUAAUGCCAAUGGGAUUUGGUCAAAGGAAAUAUUUGGUACUUGCUUGGGAAGAUUUGACAAAUCAAGUAGAGGGAAGAGCACUUUCAACAAAGACUACAAAAGGAGUAUGUCGGUUUAUUUUAGAAGAAAUUAUUUGCCGGUAUGGAUGUAUUGGAAAAAUCACUGCAGAUAGAGGAGAAUUGGAUGCAAAUGAAGCAUGAGAGUUCUUUGGAAGGAUGGGUAUUAAACUUGCAUUGUCAACAGCAUAUAAUCCGGAAGAGAAUGGCAAGAGUGAACGUGGACAUUUUCUGAUUAUUAAAGCAUUGAUUAAAGCAUGCAAAGGUAAGAUAAGUGAUUGAUCUAAAUUAUUACCAUUUAUAUUAUGGGAAAAUCGCACAACUCAUAGUACAAUUAUAAGAUACAUGCCAAUAAAAUUGAUAUAUGGUGAAAAACGGAUAAUGCCAAUAGAAGAGGUUGUAUCAACAUGGACUAUAUUAGCUUGAGAAGAUGGUUUAACAAGAGAAGAGUUAUUGGCAUUACAAAUUUGACAACUUGAAAGAAGGCUCAAGGACAUUGAAGUAGCUAUGAAAAAGUUGAAAGAAGCGAGAGAAAAAAACAAGGAGAGAUUUGACAAAAAGCAUCGAUUGCAUCCAAAAUCAAUUCAAAAUGGUGAUUGGGUGUUAGUUUAUAAUAGUAGUUUGGACAACCAACAUAGUACGGUAAAGAAAUUUACAAGGAGAUGGUUUGGACCUUAUGUUAUCAAACAAGUGCACAAGAAUGGAACAUACUUGUUAUGAGAACUGGAUGGUAUAGAUUUAAAGAUACCAAUAGCAGGCAAACAAAUCAAAUUGUUUAAUCAAAGAGAUAAAGACAUUUGUUUUGAUGAAGAACAAAAUCUAAUAAGAGAUAUUGAGAUGGAAGAAAAAAAAACAAAAUAAAGAUCAAGAAUUUGACUAAGAUGAAGAACAUUCGAUAUCAAUAUAAUGAAAGAACUUGCUGCAUACGAGAGGACGCACAGGUUCAAGGGGGGUGGAUGUCAUGAUGUAACAUCGUUAACAAGUGAAAGGAUGAAGAAAAUAUCAUGUUUUGAGGAUCUCACUUCAAAAAUAUUGUAGCAAAUUAUCUUGGAAAAAUAGAUAUUAGUCAAAGGGUAGAAAAAUUAAAGGUGCUAAUGCUGCUUUUUUACAAAUUAUGCUUCUAUUUACUUUGUAAGGCCAUUAAUAAGACAAAAUAAGGUAGAUUAGAAAAAUAAAGAAUAGAGGCAUAUGUAGAGAGGAGUUAGGAGUGCAAAUUAGUAACAAUUACCUCAAGAAGACAAAAGUUGAUACCCAAAGAAGACCGGUUAUGAACCUGGGUCGAAAUCAGACCCCAAAGAACAAAACCGCACUCUGAUGGCGACUCAAGGGUUCUUUGGGAGAUCGGAGAGCGGAAUUAGGGAAAAGACUUGUGGAUGGAUUUUUGAAAGGUAAUUUCGUGUCGUUUGGAUUAGUAUUGGAUUUUUGAAGGAUUUUCAAAGCGAGUGAUGUUCUCUGUGAAUUCAGAUCUUUAAGAAAUAAAACCAGUUUACAAAUUUUUGGAUUUCGUGACUUUUGUAGCAUUUUUACAGGUAAAAAUUUAGAAACUUAUUGGUAUGCUUGUUGUAAAUGUGUAUAAGAGAUUUGAGGUCAAUCAAAUAGGAGUGGAAGUUGGCAUUAAGAUAGGAGAAGGAGAGACCAGUCGACAUCUGAGCGGAAUUUUGAGGUCAUCGAUUAAUUGAUAAGUGCGAUUUUCUUCAAAAUUUGUGAGCUAGUUUCUAAAUUAAACCCCAAAAAUUGUACAAAUUUUGAAUUAGAAUCAAUAGUUCAAUCUUUCAUUAUUUUAUUUUCAAAUUUAUAAUUAGAGUUUGUGUAGACGAAGUAGUUAUUUUCAGAAUGUAGAUACCUAGUAUAUAGUGUAAACAGGGAUAGAUAACUGUUGAAAAGGUGGUUCAGUAGGUAGAAUGGAUGAAUAGUCAGGAAAAGUAGUUAUCAUCUGUAGUAUAGGAGUUGGUAUCUCAGGAUAGUAUAAGGAGGAUGGGAGAGGGGAAGAAAAUGUCAGACUGUGAGAGUCGUAAGCCAAGGAUCAGACUGCGAUAGUACUGAGCCGAGGAUAAGCUUGGUGCUAUUUCUUCUUUUUAGUUUUCUUGUUUCUUUUGUGUUAGUGUUGAUUCUAGUGAAGAGAAUCAAUUUAAUGAAUUAAUGUUUGAUUUACAAAGUUGUUUAUGGAUCACUGUUUAUCAAUUGUUGUGAAAGAUUGAGGACGUAUGGAAGUUUCCAGUCACUAUUUAUCGCAAGGUUGUAAGUUUAGUAGAGAGGAAUUGUAAUUGAAGGAAUUGUCUUGAUGAGAUUUUGUGGAUUGAAAUUUAUUCAUUCUAAGGUUUGGAAUAUAUUUAUGUGUUCAUGAAUUACACAGGGUACUAAAAUCGUUGUCAUGGAUGUUAUUGUAUUGAUAUGAGAGAGUGGACAAUAGGAAGAAAAGUUAAGUGUUCUUUAAUAUGGUAAGCAUUCAGCAGUAGCGGUUAAUUGCGUGAUCCUAACAAUUGGAGCUCAUAUACAUGGUCUUUCCCUGUGUUCGAAUAUCCCCCAUACGAAUUUAUUUUGGGAGGUUUCUUUCGAAAUAAGUAAAAUGAGCAAUCACAUUUUGGCGCCACUGCUAGGGAUUGACAACAUUAUUGAGUGUUAGGAAUUAACUGUCGAAGCAGUAAAGGAGAUUAGGAAGCAAACUCAGUAGAAAUAAUGAAAGAAUAUGGUUAUUAAGAAUGAGAAUUUAACAGCAAAGAGAAUUCAGCAAUCAAAGGAAAAAACAGAGCGAUCGCAAGCAAGAAAUUUGUUACGUAAUGAGCAAGAUUAUAAAUUAAAAAAGAAGCAUCAACAAAGUUGGAUUAAGCCGUGGUUGCAUGCCUGUCGGCAUAUUCAAUCGUAUCCAGAAGAUGAUCAACCUCUAAUAUUUCAGAAGUACAUAUCGUUAAAAAAAUUGCCAAGAGCAAUCAUGGGGAGUGGUGCUAAUAGUCCAGCAAACCUCUCAAAGCCAUUAAAACAAGGAAGGUACAAAGGAAUUAGGUACCCCACUGGGUAUCUUUUCAAUUGAAAAUACAUCCAAUCCUAACAAGACUGGUUUUAAAGAUUGGCAUAGAUCACUUGCCAAUAAAGACCAAUUCAGAGUAUAUCAAAACUUGUUAUUUUCACCUCAUAUUCAACUAGUAAAAUUAUUUGGGGAGAAUAACAGUCAAUGGGGAAGGCCUCGAAGUCCGAAAAAGACUUUUGCGAGAGACAGUUUUUAUUUUAAUAAGAAAUUGAGCAGAACACCACCAUCUUUAAUGAUAUUUGGAGGACCAGCAGUUCUGAUUGUAGUUCAAAUGGGUGUAGUGGGCGAUCGAACGACUAGCAUCGUACCAUUGCCUACUUUUUGGGGUUUGCCAGGUGCGGAUCUAGAUCAAUAUUUGUCUCAAUUUUUGAUGGCAUGUGUAGCCAAUAAUAGAAAAAUAGAAGAUAUUUAGCUGAGAUGGCUAUGAGCGACAUUGAAAGACACAGCGUUUGAGUGAUACAACCGCCAACCUGUGGGACAAUUUAUCAAUUGGGAGGCAUUGAAAAAUAUAUUUUUAGCCCAUUUUUGAUCAAUUGGUUUUAAAAAACGUCUUAGAAAAAAAUUAAUAAACAGUAAAAUGGUACCAGGGAAAGCGGUACAGUCAUAUUAUAGUCGUGUAGCAGAUAUACUUCAAAAAUGGCUAAAUAACCAAAUGUCGAAAUCAUUUGUAUUGUCCAUAUUGGUUAAUGGACUAUACCCACCACAAUUAAAAAUGUUUGUAAAGGAGGCCCAAUCAGCUACCAUUACAUCAUCUCUUGAACGAGCAAAAGUAUGGAAGGAAUGUCAUUAUGAUCAGAACUUAACAGUUGGAGCCACGAUGAUUCCAUCUCAAGGAGGUUAUCAAAUGACAAAUUGGAAUGACGCAUCGGAAAGUUAUCUAGGAAGGAAUGAUUAUCGUACAAUUCCACAGGGAAUAGUGGAUGCCGUUCCAUUACAAGCUGUACCACUAUCAUCAUCACAACCGUAUGCACCUUAUUCCGCGUUUCAGAAACCAAUACCUACAAAGGAAUUGCCAAAUGUAUUAGUAUCAAAAGAUCCCAAUGAGUCAUUGCUAUUAACAUUGAGGAAAAAAAUAGAUGAAUUGGCUGUGAAUCUGGCCAAAGAUAAGGAAAAAAGGCAUAAACCAACCAAUAUGCGUCCCAAUGUCUAAUGCAGCAAUUAUAAGGGGCAAGGUCAUUUAGUAAUAGAAUAUCCUUCACCACCUCAAAUGACUGUACAAUGUACCUUUUGUGGGAGUAAGCAUAUUACCACCAACUGUUGGAAUUUACGGAAGCAACAACAACUCAGUAACCAGAUAAUGACUCAACCAACUUCGUGGGAUGUCAAUCAAGUAUAGACAAAUAAUAGGUUUGGCUGGAAUGGAAAUCGAGCGAAUAAACAAAAUAGGAAUUAUUUUAAUUUCUUCAACUCUGAAUUUUACUAAAAAAGUCUAUCUUAUACUCACGGAUUGGCGAUAAACCAACCAAGUUACCAUCAAUAUCCAUCCAUGACAAAACCAAUGCCAGAUUCUACAGUAACAAUGGGUCAAUCAAGAUCUUUUACUCAUUCGACAUGAAAUAGACCUAGCCGUUAUAUACCAGUAGAAACACCCAUUAUCCCUGAAGGAAUUGGCAGGAGACCACUUUCUUGCUAUCGUUGCAAAUAAAUCAGACAUUAUACGUAUGAAUGUCCUAAUCCAAGGGCCAAUGAUGAAUAUGCUCUAAUAUGUAGAAAUUGUAAGCAGUUUGGUCACACUUAUCAACAGUGCAAUGUACUCUUUAAUUAUAAUAACCGGGACCAGCAAAUGCAAACAAGCCAACCGGUGGAGGACAAAGGCCCUGUUCAAUGAGACUCACUAGUACAUCGUGUUGAGGUGGUGAAUGUAGUGCUUACUAGAGGCCAACAAAAAGACAAGAAUCUAAUUCAAGACAUAGAUGAACUAAUCGCAGGAGAACAAGUAGCACCGUCCACGGAGCUAAAUGAACCAAUAUCAGUAUUGGGACGUAUCCCAAUAUUGAGACCUCAACAAACUGAGGAACUCAAUUCGGUUCCACGUGCUAAUUUUUCGGGACCAUCCAAUCCAGGUCUUGUUACGGGCUUUGUAUUCAGUAUGAGACCUGACUCGGUGGCGCAACCCAAUGAGGUCCCAAUUAUGGAGGCUUUGCUUCUAUUCCAAGCAGUUUUAAUAUCUACGCAAUUUUGAGAAAUGUGCUAUCUGUUGAAAGAUCCUCUCGUGGGUGGAAAUUCCAAGGAAUUUCUAGCUGCUGUUCCAAUUUUGAGUCUAGGGCAGAAGAAUAUCUUACUUCAUGGAUUAAAAUCGAAACCAAUGAAACGCAAAAGAUCAUUAGAAAUUACUCUCAAUAUGGAACCCUACGACAUUCUGAGGGAUUUGGAUGUUAUUCAGCCUUCAAUUACAAUGAAGCAACUUUUGGCUGUAGCACCGGAAUGUCGAUCUAUAUUGAAUUCAGCGUUAAUACGAUGAAGAUUCUACACUAAAGAAAUUCAUGAAGUUAGCUUAAACCCAGAUCCAGGAGCACCAACAAUCGAUGUAUCAAUCGAUGGCAUUUUAAUUCCAUGGAUACAAGUCGACAGUGGCUCUAGUGUGAAUAUAAUGAAUACGGUGUCAUGUUGUAACACGAGUAUACCGUGAAAAUAUAAAGAAAGGGGAUUUUUAUUAAUAUUCAGUUACCUCAAAUAUUGGGAACAACGACCAAUUCUAGUACAAAUACUGAGUGGCCAGGUUCAGUCACCCCGUUAUAGUCAGCCGGGACAUAUUGAAAUGCUCCGUUUGAUUCCAAUAACGGGAGUCAGCAGGAAGGACAAGGACCAAUUCAAUGACGGGUGAGCUUGGUUCGAAGAGCCAAUUGGAUCCAAUUUCAAGACAUCCAAUUCAGGUCCUAUUACAGGCUUUUUAUCCAAUAUGAGACCUGACUUGGUCGGGCAACCCAAUGUGGUCCAAUUACGGGAACAUCCAGGUCUUACUACAGAUCUCUUAGUCAAUAUGAGACCUGAAUUAGUCGAGCGACUCAAUGUGGUCUCGAUUACGGGGUUUGGAUUCUAUUUCAUGCUAUCUUGUUCUCUGUGCCAUUUCAGGGAACGUUGUUUUCGGUAAAAGGAUCUCUAAAAGAUAAAAACAAAGGAGAGAACUUUGAGGACGGAGCCAAUUCCGGAUCUAAGACGGAAGAUUGAAGAAAUUCAGAGGCUAGGAUUUGAGAGAGGAGAGAAUUAGGGUUAAAGGAGAGGAUAGGUUAAGAAAUGGAGGGAGGAGAAUAAGUUUUUUUAAGAAGGGUCGGAGAGCAAGCUUCAUGCUUCGGAGCGGGAAAAAAAGAUAGAGAAUUGGGUUUUUUUUUUCUUCAUAGGGUUUUAACAAGACUGAGGUAAUCGUUGCUGAAGUCAGUGUUGUACUAGAGAAUCAGGAUUUUAAUGAAGUGGGUAUGAUUACUCUUGAUUGUUUCAUGAAAUCGAAUUACAUCUAUGAUGAAGAAUUAAAAGGGUAUCUAUAGGAUUGAGUAUGCGGAGUGAAUGAAAUUUAUUGGAUUAAUCUAAUAAGACAGUUAGUGGAUACAAGAUCAUGAGUAUAAAGCGGUAUCAAAGAUUAGCAGUUUGAGUUGUUCGGGGUUCUCUCUAACGUUGUCGUAUUACAUAUUGUCUUGUUCGGGAAUACACUGGGUAUCUGGCUGUAGAAGGUAAAGUUGUUUUUGCAAAAAACAAAGAAACUCUAAUAGAUUUUAUCCAUGUAUGAAGAAUAUAAUUGAAAUAUCAAUUUCCAAGUAUUUAAAAACACUCAUAGUCAUUUUAACCAUACAAUAUUCCAAUUGCUUUAUUUCUUUUAUAAUUAAGUUGUUUUUUUUUUUCUUAAUAAGCCCUAAUCCUAGCCAAUGAGCUUUGACAAGCUGUAACUUUUGAUCCAACCGUCCACUUAGUAUGAAAUUUUGCACUCAAAUACCAGUAUAAGCCUUCUAGAUGCUCAAAAAAUUUCAGCCCAACCCAACUUACAGAUUGCAAGAAAACGCCCAAAAACCGCACUCAUGACACUUGGCUGCAACCUUGAAAUUUGAUAUAGAAACUCUAGAAGUGAUUUCUCCUUUGUCAACCGUUAACUCCAACUCAAAAUUGAAUAGCUGCUUGAUCUCCAAAGCUUCUAUUACUAAGCCAAAAAUUACGUUGAUCCAAUUGGUAGAUCUUCAGAUAUCACAGAAAUCCUAUCCAAUCCUAGACUACCAACUUCCGACAACCCUUUGUACUAAAACCCAGAUAUCUCUUGAUUUCAUUGUUAAAUUAACACAAAUUUUUGUAUACAGUUAGCACACCCAACUAUUCAGACAAUACCAAAUUUUGAUCCAUAGAUGCUAAACGACUUGCACAAACCGAUUGAGAAUGCAAACCAUCAAUGUUUUACAUAAAAUCCGAAGCACCAAAAUAAACACUGACUUUGAGCAGCGAUUGCUCUCCACUUACAAAUCCUAAUGAAACCAAACUAGUGACCUUGAAAAGAACUUGAAGCUAGCUCUUCGAUCCAAAAAACCUCGAUCUGAAAACCCCCCCUCCCCCCCUUUUCUUAACCUUCCUCCUCUUUAACCCUAAUUCUUCCCUCUUUCAAACCCUAGCCUCUGAAUUUCUUCAAUCUUCCGUCUUGGAUCCGGAAUUGGCUCCUUCCAUCUUGGAUCCAGAAUUGGCUCUGUUGUCAGAGCUUUCUCCUCCAUUUUUAUCUUUAAGAGAUCUUUUUUCCAAAAGGACGUCCCCGGAGUAGCAUAAAAGACGGAACAGCUUGAAACGGAAUCGGAGCCCUGUAAUCGAGACAACAUUGAGUUGCUCGACCAAUUCAGGUCUCAUAUUAGAUAAGAGGCCCAUAUUAAGACUUGGAUGUUCCCGCAAUUGGACUGCAUUGGGUUGCCCGACCAAUUCAGGUCUCAUAUUGGAUAAGAGGACCUGGAUUGGAUGUCUUGAAAUUGGAUCCAAUUGGCUCUUCGAACCAAGCUCAUCCGUCGUUGAAUUGAUCCUUUCCCUUUCUGCUGACUCUCAUUAUUGGAAUCGAAUGGAGCAUCUCAAUAAGCCCCGGCUGAUUGUAAUGAGGUCACUGAACCUAGCCUCUUAGUAUUUACACUAGAAUUGGUCGUUGCUCCCAAUAUUCAAGGUAAGUGAACAUUAAUAAAAGUCCUCGUCCUUUAUAUUUUCACAGUAUACUCGUGCUACAACGCGACAACGUCUAGAGACUUACCGGCUGGGACAAAAAGGAUUUUGGCAAGCAGUCGAAGGACAUCCGUAUAGAUUUACAAUAUAUUCUCGUAGUUGUUUAUAUUCCAACAGUUAAAAACCGAUAGACUACUUGAAUAUUGGCGAAUCUCCAUACUACCUUCUAUAGCCAGACACCCAGCGCGUUCUUGAGUAGGAAAGCACGUAAUACGAUACAAGUGGUGAACUCGACGUAAAAGCUUGAGGUGGAAGGUAUUGGAUUUUGUUUGGUUUUAUUUUUAUUUUAUGGAAAACGAAAAUAAAAAUUUUGAAGGAUCUUUGGGAGGAGUUUCUGGUGGGGGUUCUUCUAAAGGACAAGGUAUGCACAUCGAUCCGUCUAUCGCUAGUAUGUUUCAAGCCUCUUCAUUAUCAAUGCAGCAACAGCAAAGCAAUGAUUGCAAGAAAGCUUUGGCAACCAAAGCAUUGCAAGCAGUGGUCAAUAAAAUUGAUCAAUUUGAUGGAAGGAAUAUUUCAAGGUAUUUAAGAUGUUAUGUUCGUGAAAUGGAAUUAAAUUAGAUUUUUGAGAAGAAAAUGGUUGAAUUAUUUGGACUUGCCAUGAUAUCAAAGAUAAGAGACCAUAUUACAUCGAUUACGGAUCGUUAUGGGAAUUCAUAGGAGGUUUUUUUACAUGCAUUGAAAGACGAAUAUUUCUUGGAAGAUGUUGAUCGCGUUACUAAGAAGUUGUUUCUGGAAUGGAUUGAACGGCCCAAUAAGAAUUUGUAAGCAACGGAGCUACUGAGGGAAUUUGAGAGGUAGUACUCUCAAUUGUCGAAGGUAGAAAAAUUGACAUUGGAGCCGAACAAAGUUGAUCUAUUUCUUCAAGCUGCUGAGGGAGAAUUGCAAGGAAAAUUAGAACUCCUUCUUGAAGACAAAGAAGAAGAUGAAGGAUUGACAACAAAGUAGAAGAACGUUGAAGAUGUGGUGGGGUUGCUUACAAAAAGAGAAAGGAGGAAGGAUAGGAGUAAUAUUCUGAAAACAGUACAAGCACCCAAAGCUCCAGUACGUACAAUACCACCAACAAUGCCUACAGUUCAAUCUUCGACAUCCUUAUCAAAAAAAGCAGAUAUGGGGAUGGAAGAAAUUAUAUGAGGAAUGUGAGAUCUUCAAAUUAAAUUGGCAAGACUUGAAUAGAAUACUUCUACAAAUAAUUUGAAGAAUGUUUCAAAACAAGGAUAUGUACAAAGAUGCAUUUGGUGUGAUGAUGCUUCACACACUAGGAAAGAUUGCAAUGAAUUUAAUAAUAUGAUACGGCAAGGAAUUAUUUGAUGGAAAGAUGGGAAGAUAGUAUUAAAAGAUAGAGAGGAUCUUCUUCAAACUAAUUUUGAUAAGGGAGGAAUGAGAGCAUUGGUUCAAGAUUACUUAAAAGAGCAUGAAAUAGCAUCACGAGAAAGUGCAAGUUAUGGUGCUAGAGUAGAUGAUGACCUUGGUGGAGGUACGAAAACUAGUGAGUUUUGGCCUUCUGCCGUUUCUACAAUGUAAGAAGGGAAAUUACCUCGAGAAGCGUUAUUGAGGAUUGCAGCUACAAUACGAGUUGCAACAAGUUGGGAGGAUCCUGUUGAGUCUCUUUCAGUUCAUGCAUAUAUUACUAAGAGCCAACAUGAAGCUUUGAUGGAAGAAAAGAGACGAAGAAAUUUUGAUGAUACGAGAGAAGAAAAUUCUUCUAAAAGGCAAGCUCGAGGAGACAAGGCUCGGAAGGCAGCUUCACAAGAAUUGCCUGUAAAGAUACCUCAGCAUGAUUGGGAGAAAAAACUAGGAAAACAAAAGAUAAGUGCAAAUCAAUUGCUUAUAAGCUACUUUUUGACAUUGAAGCGGCAAUAAAUUUGAAAGGGGUGUUGAAAGAAUGUAUAUUAAACGCUAAGGUGGAAUUCACAUUGAAAGAAGUCUUGGGAAUUGCAAAGAAGGAGUUUCAUGAUAUUAUCAUUGACAACAUUAAGCGAAAGAGGCAAUUAAUGGGUAAAACUGGAAUGAUUCAUGAUAUUGAUGCAAGAAUAUAUGAAGAUGAAGAAUAGGUUGAUAUUGGUUACAAGCAACCAACAAAUGAAAAGAAUGGGUAUAAUCAACAAGUACGUUUCGAAGAUUAUAGUGAUAAGGAAAUGGAAACCUUGAGCCAUUAUACUCUAAAGCAUUGGGCAAAGGCAACUAUUGAGGUAUUGGUGAAAGUAGGAGAUAUAGAAGAAUGUCAAGGACAAGAACUUGAUGAAAAAAUAAUUAAAACAAGUGAGCCUUCAUUCAAAGAGAGGUAACAAAAUAUAUAUAAACAAGUAUAUAUAUUGAAAGAGAAACUAGAAUGGCUAUUGCCAAAAGAUAAGAAAACUAGAGAUCCUUGAAACUAGACUAGAAGUAAGAAAAGAGUUGACAAGAGUGAAGAAGCCUUCACUCUUGUCUCUAUAUAUACUAUCUAACUAGGGGCUAUGUGGCGACAUUCUAUAGGACCUCCAAUAUGUGUUGACUUUAUAGGAUACAUGCCUUGACUUACAAGGCAAGUUUUUCUACGUGUGGGCCACAUAGUUAGCUUGAUCUUCAAGCUAACAACAUGUGUGGCACAUGGCCAACUUGUUGACCACGUUUUUAAUCCAAAAAGUCAAUUAAAGACACCUAUGAAGUCAAAGCAGCAUCUGGGAAGCUUCUAAAAAGCUUACAUAUUAAAUAUUAUAGAAUUAAUUUACUUUUAUCUACUUUUAUUUACUUCUACUUAUUUGUAUAUGUAAUUAUUUGCUUACAUGAUUAUGGCCGUGACAUUAUCCCCUCUUCUAGAGACGAGUUCCACGAGGAGCGGUCAUCAUAUGUUGAGGAAAUCUAUGAUGCGACGAAUUGUAUUCGCCUCAUACUCUGAUCUCUAUUCUCUUCGAAGAUGAUUGAUAGGGCCUCUCAACCAUCGAUAGUGUCCCAUACUAGGGCGGGAAGACCAUCCAGUUAUUUGAUCAUUGUUGAGGCCUUCGUAACUUCCUUCGAAUAGAAUAUUUGGAACACCAUCAGGAAUUGUUCCUACCUCUAGCAAAAUCAUCAAACAUUGGGAGUCCCUUCCCAAAUCGUGAUACCAAAUGCGUCGUAUCUCACCAUCUAUUCAAGGAAGUACAUAUCAUUCUUGAAGAUCUUCAUUUCGAUUAUGUCAUCUUGAAGGUUGUGACAAUUAUACAGUCUCGUCUGACAAGUCAACAAAUUAAGGCUCUUGAGUUGAAUUCGCUGGUUGUUGGUUCUCCAUCUCUUGAGCGUCACUACUACAACGAAGCUACGAAUAAGAAUUGAAAGUAGAAUGUUAUCUUGCCUAGAUGUUGUUUCUUAUAUAAAGAAGGUUUUCAUCUUGAUUUUGAUGGAUGUCGUCGAUGAAAAGCCUGCACCGCCUUUUCUGCAUUUGCAAGAUUUUUUAUUGGCUCCCAUGAGCAUUCACUAAUACCAUAUUUGCGCCAAUGGAUAAGAUAUUCUAAUUUAUUUCGGCGUCGCCUUGAAUCUAAGACUUCUUCUACUUCAAACUCUUCAUUAUUGUCCACUUCUAUAGGAGGAGGUGGAGCUUGUCGUCUUCUUGGUAUGUCCACUGUCUUGUAUGGUUCAAGAAGAGACACGUGGAAUACUGGAUGGAUUUUCAUUGACUCCGGUAGAUGUAAAUGAUAUGCAACUGGAUUGAUUUCUGCAGAAAUAAAAAUGGUCCCAGCCUUCGAUAGUCCAACUUGUCACAAGGACGAGUGGUCUUGAUAUUGCGACGAAGUAGCCAUACUUUAUCACCCAAGACGAAUGAUGGUUGUUUCUUUUGAUAGACUGCCUUCCUUAUUUGAGGCCACCGAAAAUCCCUAGAUAUCUGCUCCAAAGUCUUAUUAUAUCUAAAAUGUCCUUCUGUUGGGAAGUCAUGACGAGCUUGAAGAACACGUAAACGAGCUUCUCCUUCUGGAACAUAUAGGCGUCCUUCGAAAUAGAGUAGGUUGUUCUUGAAUUCAAAUUUAGAUGGAUCAUGAGAUUUAGAAUAAUUGUUCUUGAUAUCAUGAACAAGAGGGUCUGAAGACAUACUUAACUGGACUUGCUUAAGGAAAGUUAAAUCAACAGUCAAUGUUGAUUUUAUUGCUCGAAGAUGAAAUUGUUCCGGCUUCAAGAGAACCGUUCUUUAUUGCUCAAAAGCUGCAUCUCCUUCUUUUGGUGCAAGAUAAAAACGUCUAGACAAGGCAUCGGAUAAACCUUGUUGUUUUUCUGGCCGAUAAGUGAUGAUGAACUCGAAUCUUGAUAAAGACAUGUUCCAACGAGCUUAGGGACGAUUUAAUACACGUGUUGACAUAAAAUAUUCGAGGUUCUUGUGAUCCGUAUACACGAUGACUAGAUUAGAAGCGCCUUCUAGAUAAUGACGCCAUUCUUGAAAAGAAUCCACAAUCGCAAGAAGUUCUUUGUCGUGGAUCUCAUAAUUGAUUUCUGCUCCUGAGAAUUUUCUUGAAUGAAAGGCUACUAGAUGAAGUUUGUCAUCUGUUCCCAUUUGUGAUAAAACUGCACCAGAGCAAAGUCUGAUGCAUCUGUUUCCAUAAAGAAUGCUUUGGAAAAAUCAACUUGAUACAAGAUUGGUGCAGAAACAAACACUGUCUUCAAAGAUUCAAAAGCAACUUUCACUUCUUGGUUCCAUUGGAGUUUGUCUUUAUAAGUCAAACAUGUAAGUGGAGCUGCAACUCGAGAAAAGUCUUUGAUGAAGAUUCGAUAGUAGUUGGCAAAUCCCAAAAAGCAUUGGACAUCUCUUACUGUUUUUGGGCUCUUCUAAUCUAUAAUAGUUUGAACUUUCUUAGGAUCCAUCAUAAGUCCAUCAUUUGAAAUGAUGUAACCUAAGAAAUCGACUUGAGUAGUGUGGAAUACAUACUUUUCUAUCUUGGCAUAGAGUCCUGCAUCUUUAAUUUUUUGUAACACCCGACGAACAUGAAGUUCAUAUUCUUUUGGAUUCUUAGAAUAGAUCAAGAUGUCGUCUAGAUAACAUACCACAAAAUCGUCCAAAAACUCUCAAAAAACAUCAUUCAUUAGAUGUUGAAAAGCUGCUGGUGCAUUUGUAAGUCUAAAAGGCAUGACGUUGUAUUCAAAAUGUCCAUACCUAGUUCGAAACGCAGUCUUCCAUUCAUCUCCUUCUUUGAUGCAUAUUAGAUUGUAUGCUCCUCGAAGAUCUAUUUUUGAUUCAAUUGAUCAAGAAGUCCGGAUAUUAAAGGUAGUGGAUACCUCUUUUUGAUGGUAAUCUUGUUGACUCCUCUAUAAUCAACACACAUUCGCAAUGAUCCAUCUUUUUUCUUCAUAAAUAGAAUUGGAGCUCCUGCUGGAGAUUUAGAAUGGCGUAUGAAAUUCUUGGCUAGAUUUUCUUCAAUAUACUCCUUGAGUUCAGCCAAGUCAUUUUGUGAUAAACUAAAGAUUGGUCCGAAUGGCGGUUGUGCUCCUUCUUGAAGGUCAAUUGAGCAAUCAUAGGGACGAUGUUUCGAGAGUGUAUCCGCAUUCUUUUUUUCAAAUACAUCUUGAAAUUCUUGAUAUUGGCUUGGAAUGCCACGUGAAGUCUUUUCACCAGUAGAAACGGGUGUAGCAUAAAUAAUGUAUGGUGAUUCUUUCAUAGCAGCAUGCAAGAAAGCUUUUGCACUUAUAAAUACGGGUUUAAUUGAACUGAACUUAUGACUCUCUACUUGAUUAACUACACUGUUAAUUAUACUUUUAGAGAAAGUAGGAGUUCCAAAAAUCCAAUUUAUUUGAGGGUUGUAUUUUUCUAACCACGAUAAACCUAAAAUGACUAUGUUAGAGGGAGAUCUAAUGAUAUUAAAUACUACAAAACUAUUAUGACGAUUGAUUAUUACUUCUAUAGGAAGGAUUUCAUGAGCAAUAUCUCCAGAAGACAAUGGACGACCAUCUAUGACUUCUACAUGAACAGAUUUAGUUUUCUUUACUAAAGAUAUGCUAUGUCUUUUAGUAAAUUCUUCAUCUAAAAAACACGCUGAGGCUCCUGAAUCUAACAAGGCAGAGGCUUUGUAAUAUUUAGGUCCUAAAAUAACAUUUUAUAUAAAACAAGGAGAGGGCUUUGAGGAGAGAAUAGGACCUUUAUUAGAAGUUGUGCAAGGUUCCAGCCGCACGGUCCCUAUUGUAGCUAGACAAACUUGUUUUCCAACAUAUUAUCUUCUUUCACAGCCAUACUCCUCAUUUUGUGAUUGCGUUGUUUCUUUGGACAAUGCUGAGCAGUGUGCUUUGGUUCUCCACAAUAUAUACAUAAUCCUUCUUGACGACGACGAGUCUUUUCUUGCUCAGUAAGAGGUUUGAAACGUACUGCAUCAAUUUGCAUAUCCUCUACUUCUGAAUGUAUGUGUUGAAGAGAUAUUGGUGUUGCCAUUGAAUUAUAGUAACGUUGAAGUCCACUUGUAUGGUUCUCAGAUUGGAAUUCAAAAAGGCGAUUGUCGCACUUCACAGUAAAGUCAAUUGCUUGACUCAAUGUUUGAGGAUCAUGUAAGUUGAGCAUUAAUAUUUUUACCUCAUAUUAUAAUCCGUAGAGAAAUUGGCUAAUAAGUGCAACAUCAUCCCACUUGAUAUCAGUUGCAAGUUGUCAAAAUUGUGAAGCAUAUAACAUUACUGAUCGAUUUCCUUGUCGUAAAAUAUGGAUCUUAUUGGUUGCAACAUGAAUUGCAUCAUGUUCUCCAUACAUGGAUCGAAACCUCUAGAUUAUCCAAUAUUAGAUCUCGUUGUUCAAGAAAAGAUGAAAACCAUGAUAGUGCCGAAUGUGAAAGAAGCAUACCAAUGAAUCUAACUUAUGAUCUUGGAGUUGGAUAGCUUCGAGGUUGAAGUUCAAUCACAAGUUACACUUGAUUGAUAAAUCCUUAAAACUUGGAUCUGGUGCCAUCAAACUUCUCGGGUAGGGCAAUUCUUGGUUCUGUAACAUUUGAAGGGCGUUCCACCAUAGGAGAAAGAACAUGAUUUGGUGCAGAUGUUGAAGCAGCUUCAACCAUUUCAAUAUCUUCACUUCCUGCCAAUCUUGUUGCUCCUUCUGGUGGUAAAUUGAGUUGAUGCAUCGCAAGCAUUAACUCCUUCAAUUGCUCUUGCAUUUGUGCCAUUACACUCUCCAUUUCAAGAAAUUCUGCCAUGAUAAUACUUAGAAGAGAGAAGAUGUCUAAUAUCGCUCAAGACAAAUAGAAGAGAGGACUUGCACACAAAGAAAAUACUAAGGACAAUAUUAGUUUAGAAGACGGUAAUCCGCAACUUUUAAUACGCUUAUAUCUUAUCAAGAAAAAGGGGUAAUCCACUCUUAAUCAAGAUUAGACAAAGCUCUGAUAUUAUAGGUGUACUCUUGUCAAUCUAUCAAGGACAAGAACUUGAUGAAAAAAUAAUUCAGACAAGUGAGCCUUCAUUCAAAGAGAGGUAACAAAAUAUAUAAAAACAAGUAUAUAUAUUGAAAGAGAAACUAGAAUGGCUAUUGUCAAAAGAUAAGAAAACUAGAGACCCUUGAAACUAGACUAGAAGCAAGAAAGGAGUUGACAAGAGUGAAGAAGCCUUCACUCUUGUCUCUAUAUAUACUAUCUAACUAGGGGCUAUGUGGCGACAUUCUAUAGGACCUCCAAUAUGUGUUGACUUUAUAGGAUACAUGCCUUGACUUACAAGGCAAGUUUUUCUACGUGUGGGCCACAUAGUUAGCUUGAUCUUCAAGCUAACAACAUGUGUGGCACAUGGCCAACUUGUUAACCACGUUUAUAAUCCAAAAAGUCAAUUAAAGACACCUAUGAAGUCAAAGCAGCAUCUAAGAAGCUUCUAAGAAGCUUCCAUAUUAAAUAUUAUAGAAUUAACUUACUUUUACCUACUUUUACUUACUUCUACUUAUUUAUAUAUGUAAUUAUUAGCUUACAUGAUUAUGGCCUUGACAAAGAACUAAUUGUUGCUUUAGUUGACCAUGGUUCUGAAAUAAAUCUCAUGUCUAAAGUUCUUUAUAAGAAGCAAAAAUGGCCAAUUGAUAUGGAACAUGGAUGGGCAAUACGAGCAACUAAUAACACACGGGGCGAAUUAUAUGGAACUUGUCCAGAUGUCAAAAUUUGGAUUGGGGAUGUUGCGAUGGAGCAACAUUUUUUUGUUCAAGAUACAACAUCUUAUUCGUUGAUUUUAGGACAACCUUAUAUUACAGCAACACGGAUGGAAAGAAAAGUACUUGACGAUGGUUCUACUUAUGCAAGGGUACAUAGCGAAGAUGGGAGGAAAGUUGUACAAUUUCUAACAGUACCUCCCAACUAUGAACGGAAUCGAGAUAGGUUGAGGGAGAAACCAUUUCCAAAGAUUGUUGAAGGAUUUAAGGAUUUUCGGGAGGUACCACUAUAAAGUGAGAUUAUGGAGGUACAAAAGAGGAGGUACUCUUGCGAGAUGAAGGUGCCUUUGAUGCGAGUUUUAUUGGUAUUUUGGAGAAUGGAAAUAUUAUGUAUAAGAAAGUUGAUGAUUUAAAAAAAAAAAAAAAAAAAAAAAAAAAAAAAAGAUUAUAUGAUAUUGAAGGAGAAUUACGCAAAUAAGGUACGCAGCAAGAAGAUGAAAGUGAUUUGGAUAAUGAAGGUGAUGAAGACGAACUGGGCAAAGACGUAGAGAUUAUAUUUUAAAUCAAACAGCAAUUGAGUAAAUUGAUGCAUACCAGAGGAUGCACAGGUUCAGAGGGGGUAGAUGUCGUGUUGUAACACGAGUAUACCGUGAAAAUAUAAAGAAAGGGGACUUUUAUUAAUAUUCAGUUACCUCGAAUAUUGGGAGCAAUGACCAAUUUCCGCGCCAAUACUGAGUGGCGAGGUUCAGUCACCUCGCUACAGUCAGUCGGGGCAUUUUGAAAUGCUCCUUUCGAUUCCAAUAACGGGAGUCUGUAGGAAGAGAAAGGACCAAUUCAAUGACGGGUGAGCUUGGUUCGAAGAGCCAAUUGGAUUUAAUUUCAAGACAUUCAAUCCAAGUCCUAUUACAGGCCUCUUACUGAAUAUGAGACCUGACUUGGUCGGGCAAUCCAAUGCGGUCCAAUUACGAGAUCAUCCAAGUCUUACUACGGGCCUCUUGACCAAUAUGAGACCUGAAUUGGUCGUGCGACUCAAUGUGGUCCCGAUUACAGGGUUUGGAUUCUGUUUCAGGCUGUCUUGUUCAUUGUGCCAUUUCAGGGAACGUUGUCGUAUUACAUGCUUUCCUGCUCGAGAACGCACCGGGCAUCUGGCUGUAGAAGGUAGUAUGGAGAUUCGCCAAUAAUCAAGCAAUCUAUCAGUUUUUGACUGCUGGAAUAUAAACGAUUGUAAAAAUACAUCGUAAAUCUAUACGGAUGCCCUUCGACUGCUUGUCCAAGUCCCUUUUAUCCCAGCCGGUAGGUCUCUAGACGUUGCAGAGAACCCCGAACAAUCCAAUCUAGUAAUAUCCGAUACCGCUUUGUACUUACAAUCUUGUAUCCACUGACUGUCUUGUUAGAUUAAUCCAAUAAAUUUCAUUCACUCCACAUACUCAAUCCUAUAGACACCCUUUUAAUCCAUCAAUCACAAACGUAACUCGAUUUUACAAAACAGUCAGGAGUGAUCACACCCACUUCAUUAAAAAUCCUGAUUCACCAUUACAACACUGACUUCAGCAACGAUUGCCUCAGUCUUCCCAAAACUCUAUGAAGAAGAAAAAUCCAAUUCUCCGUCUUUUCUUCUCCGACCCGAAGUAUGAAGCUCUUCUCCAAUCUCCUUGAUCUUCAAAAACCUCCAAUGAAAAAAAACUCGUAAUCUUCCCAAGAGCUUGAAGCUAGCUCUUUCCUGAUCCCAAAAAAAAAAACCCCCCUUCCUCUCUGAUGUGAAAAAAAAAAAAAAACUCCUAAAAACUUAUUCCCCCCCUAACCUUAUCUUCUAAAUUUCUUUAAUCUUCCGUCUUGGAUCCGGAAUUGGCUCCCGCCGUCAGAGCUUAGAUCCAAAAUUAGCUCUCGCCAUCAAAGCUUUCUCUUCCGUUUUUACCUUUAAGAGAUCCAUUUAUCGAAAACAACGUUCCCUGAAACAGAGAAUAGGACAGCCUGAAACAGAAUCGAACCCUGUAAUCGGGACCACAUUGAGUCGCCCGACCAAUUCAAGUUUCAUAUUGGAUAAGAGUCUAAUAGUAAGACCCGGAUUUUCCAGUAAUCAAACUACAUUGGGUUGCCCGACCAAUACAGGUCUCAUAUUGGGUAAGAGGACUCGGAUUGGAUUCUUGAAAUGAGACUGUAUUGGGUCGCCCGACCAAUUUAGGUCUCAUAUUGGGUAAGAGGACCCGGAUUGGAUUCUCGAAAUUAGAUCCAAUUGGCUCUUCGAACCAGGCUCACCCGUCGCGUGAAUUGGUCCUUUCCCUUCCUGCUGACUCCCGUUAUUGGAAUCGAACGGAGCAUUUCAGUAUGCCCCGGCUGACUCUAACGGGGUGACCGAACCUGGCCACUCAGUAUUUACACUGGAGUUGGUCGUUGCUCCCAAUAUUCGAGGUAACUGAUCAUUUAUAAAAUUCCUCUUUCUUUUUAUUUUCACUGUAUACUCGUGUUACAACACGACAACGUUGUUUUCGGUAAAAGAAUCUCUAAAAGAUAAAAACGGAGGAGAGAACUCUGACGGCGGAGCCAAUUUCAGAUCUAAGACGGAAGAUUGAAGAAAUUCAGAGGCUAGGGUUUGAGAGAGGGGAGAAUUAGGAUUAAAAGAGAGGAUAGGUUAAGAAAUGGAGGGGAGAGGAUAAGUUUUUUUAAGAAGGAUUGGAGAGCUAGCUUCAUGCUUUGGAGCGGGAAAAAAAGACAGAGAAUUGGGUUUUUUUUUUUCUUCAUAGGGUUUUGGUAAGACUGAGGCAAUCAUUGCUAAAGUUAGUGUUGUACAGGUGAAUCGGGAUUUUAAUGAAGAAGGUAUGAUGACUCUUGACUGUUUCGUGAAAUCGAGUUACGUCUGUGAUGAAGAAUUAAAAGGAUGUCUAUAGGAUUAAGUAUGUGGUGUCGUGUUGUAACACGAAUAUACUGUGAAAAUAUAAAGAAAGGGGACUUUUAUUAAUAUUUAGUGACUUCGAAUAUUGGGAGCAACGACCAAUUCCAGUGCAAAUACUGGGAGGCCAAGGUCAUUCAUCCCGUUACAGUCAGCUGGGGCAUACUGAAAUGCUCCAUUCGAUUCCAAUAAUGGGAGUCAACAAAAAAGAAAAAGGACCAAUUCAAUGAUGGGUGAGCCUGGUUCGAAGAGCCAAUUGGAUCCAAUUUCAAGACAUCCAAUCCAGAUCCUCUUAUCCUAUAUGAGACCUGAAUUGGUCAAGCAACCCAAUGCAGUCUAAUUAUGGGAAAAUCCAGGUCUUACUAUGGGCCUCAGCCAAUCUGACACGAAGGACCAAUUUGAUCCAAUUAUGGGAACAUCCGGGUCUUACUACUGGAUUCUUAUCCAAUAUGAGACCUGAAUUGGUCAGGCGACUCAAUGUGGUCCCGAUUAUGGGAUUUCGAUUCUGUUUCAGGCUGUCCUGUUCUCUGUGCCGUUUCAAAGAAUGUUGUUUUCGGUAAAAGGAUCUCUUAAAGGUAAAAGCGAAGGAGAAAGCUCUGACGAUGAGAGCCAAUUUUGGAUCGAAGCUCUGACAGCGGGAGCCAAUUUUGGAUCUAAGACGGAAGAUUGAAGAAAUUCAGAAUUAAGGUUAAGAAAUGAGAAGAAAAGAGAAGAAGUUUUUUUGGGGGUUUUGAAGGAUCAGAGAGCAAGCUUCAUGCUUUGAGAGGAAAAAAAAGACACAGAAUAGGGUUUUUUUUCUUCAUAGGGUUUUGGAAAGACUGAGGUAAUCGUUGCUAAAGUCAGUGUUGUAAUGGUGAAUCAAGAUUUUUAAUGAAGUGGGUUUGAUUACUCUUGACUGUUUUGUGAAAUCCAAGUUACGUCUGUCAUUGGAGAAUUGAAAGGGUAUCUAUAGGAUUGAGUAUGUAGAGUGAAUGAAAUUUAUAAGAUUAAUCUAACAAGACAGUCAGUGGAUACAAGAUCGUGAGUACAAAGUGGUAUCGAAGAUUAGCAGUUUGAAUUGUUCGGGAUUCUCUGUAACAUAUACAGACCUAUCAAUUAGGAUAAAAAGGACUUCGACAAGUAGUCGAAGAGCAUCUAUAUAGAUUUAUGAUGUAUUCUUGUAGUCGUUUAAAUUCCAACAAUCAAAAAUCGAUAGACUGUUUGAAUAUUGGUAAAUCUCCAUACUACCUUCUAUAGCUAGACGCGCGGCGCAUUCUCGAGCAGAAAAGCACGUAAUACGACAUAAAGUGGUGAAUCUGACAUGAAAGCUUGAGGUGGAAGGUAUUGGAUUUUGUUUGGUUUUAUUUUUAUUUUAUGGAAAACGAAAAUAAAAAUUUUGAAGGAUCUUUGGGAGGAGUUUCUGGUGGGGGUUCUUCUAAAGGACAAGGUAUGCACAUCGAUCCGUCUAUCGCUAGUAUGUUUCAAGCCUCUUCAUUAUCAAUGCAGCAACAGCAAAACAAUGAUUGCAAGAAAGCUUUGGCAACCAAAGCAUUGCAAGCAGUGGUCAAUAAAAUUGAUCAAUUUGAUGGAAGGAAUAUUUCAAGGUAUUUAAGAUGUUAUGUUCGUGAAAUGGAAUUAAAUUAGAUUUUUGAGAAGAAAAUGGUUGAAUUAUUUGGACUUGCCAUGAUAUCAAAGAUAAGAGACCAUAUUACAUCGAUUACGGAUCGUUAUGGGAAUUCAUAGGAGGUUUUUUCACAUGCAUUGAAAGACGAAUAUUUCUUGGAAGAUGUUGAUCGCGUUACUAAGAAGUUGUUUCUGGAAUGGAUUGAACGGCCCAAUAAGAAUUUGUAAGCAACGGAGCUACUGAGGGAAUUUGAGAGGUAGUACUCUCAAUUGUCGAAGGUAGAAAAAUUGACAUUGGAGCCGAACAAAGUUGAUCUAUUUCUUCAAGCUGCUGAGGGAGAAUUGCAAGGGAAAUUAGAACUCCUUCUGGAAGACAAAGAAGAAGAUGAAGGAUUGACAACAAAGUAGAAGAACGUUGAAGAUGUGGUGGGGUUGCUUACAAAAAGAGAAAGGAGGAAGGAUAGGAGUAAUAUUCUGAAAACAGUACAAGCACCCAAAGCUCCAGUACGUACAAUACCACCAACAAUGCCUACAGUUCAAUCUUCGACAUCCUUAUCAAAAAAAGCAGAUAUGGGGAUGGAAGAAAUUAUAUGAGGAAUGCGAGAUCUUCAAAUUAAAUUGGCAAGACUUGAAGAGAAUACUUCUACAAAUAAUUUGAAGAAUGUUUCAAAACAAGGAUAUGUACAAAGAUGCAUUUGGUGUGAUGAUGCUUCACACACUAGGAAAGAUUGCAAUGAAUUUAAUAAUAUGAUACGGCAAGGAAUUAUUUGAUGGAAAGAUGGGAAGAUAGUAUUAAAAGAUAGAGAGGAUCUUCUUCAAACUAAUUUUGAUAAGGGAGGAAUGAGAGCAUUGGUUCAAGAUUACUUAAAAGAGCAUGAAAUAGCAUCACGAGAAAGUGCAAGUUAUGGUGCUAGAGUAGAUGAUGACCUUGGUGGAGGUACGAAAACUAGUGAGUUUUGGCCUUCUGCCGUUUCUACAAUGUAAGAAGGGAAAUUACCUCGAGAAGCGUUAUUGAGGAUUGCAGCUACAAUACGAGUUGCAACAAGUUGGGAGGAUCCUGUUGAGUCUCUUUCAGUUCAUGCAUAUAUUACUAAGAGCCAACAUGAAGCUUUGAUGAAAGAAAAGAGACGAAGAAAUUUUGAUGAUACGAGAGAAGAAAAUUCUUCUAAAAGGCAAGCUCGAGGAGACAAGGCUCGGAAGGCAGCUUCACAAGAAUUGCCUGUAAAGAUACCUCAGCAUGAUUGGGAGAAAAAACUAGGAAAACAAAAGAUAAGUGCAAAUCAAUUGCUUAUAAGCUACUUUUUGACAUUGAAGCGGCAAUAAAUUUGAAAGGGAUGUUGGAAGAACAUAUAUUAAAUGCUAAGGUAGAAUUCACAUUGAAAGAAGUUUUGAGAAUUGCAAAAAAAGAGUUUCAUGAUGUUAUCAUUGACAGCAUUAAGCAAAAGAGGCAAUUAAUGGGCAAAACUAGAAUGAGUCAUGCUAUUAAUGCAAGAAUAUAUAAAGAUGAAGAAGAAAUUGUUAUUGGUUACAAGCAACCAAUAAAUGAAAAGAAUGGGUAUAAUCAAUGAGUACGUUUCGAAGAUUAUAGUGAUAAGAAAAUAGAAACUUUGAGCCAUUAUACUCAAAAGCAUUGGGCAAGGGCAACUAUUGAGGUAUUGGUGAAAGUAGGAGAUAUAGAUGAACCAAUUGUUGCUUUAGUCGACCAUGAUUUUGAAAUAAAUCUCAUGUCUAAAGAUCUUUAUAAGAAGCUAAAAUAGCCAAUUGAUAUGGAACAUGGAUGGGCAAUACGAGCAGCUAAUAACACACAGGGAAAAUUAUAUGGAGCUUAUCGAGAUGUCAAAAUUCAGAUUGGGGAUGUUGCGACGGAGCAACAUAUCUUUGUUCAAGAUACAAUGUCUUAUCCGUUGAUUUUAGGACAACCUUAUAUUACGACAACACGGAUGGAAACAAAAAUACUUGACGAUGGUUCUGCUUAUGCAAGGGUACGUAGCAAAGAUGAGAGGAAAGUUGUACAAUUUCUAAUAGUACCUCCUAACCAUGAACGGAAUCGAGAUAGGUUGAGGAAGAAACCAUUGCCAAAGAUUAUUGAAGGAUUUAAGGAUUUUGAAUAGGUACCACUGUAAAGCAAGAAUGUGGAGGUACAAAAGAGGAGGUACUCUCGCGAGAUGAAGGUGCCUUUGAUACGAGUUUUAUUGGUAUAUUGGAGAAUGGAAAUAUUAUGUAUAAGAAAGUUGAUGAUUUUAAAAGAAAGGAAAGAAAAAGAUUAUAUAAUAUUGAAGGAGAAUUAUACAAGUAAGGUACAUUGCAAGAUGAUGAGAGGAUUUUAGGUGUUUAUGAAGAAAAUGGACUGAAAGAUUCAUUGGAAUUGAUUACAUCUAUUGGGUAAGGGGUUAAUGAUAAGAUUGUUGAAAUUCAUUCAAGAGAGGUUUAUACCAUGCUUGAAUCUUUUCAAGCACCAGAAGUCACUGUAGAGACGAGAUAUAAAACAGCAGAUAAGAAGGUAAAGCCUGUUGUCGGACCAUUACCAAAAGAUUUUAAAGAACAAAUAGGAGAAGCAUCAAAAGAAGCAAGUUUAAGAGAUCCAAUGAGAAUUGGACAUCACUUUACUAAAGAGACUUUUGAAGAAUUGAAGAUUGGUUCUGAUGGUUCUUUAUUGUCGGUGUCGUAAUACGUGCUUUCUUGCUCGAGAACGCGCCGGGUGUCUAGCUGUAGAAGGUAGUAUGGAGAUUCGCCGAUAGUCAAGUAGUCUAUCAGUUUUUGACUGCUGGAAUAUAAACGACUGCAACAAUGUACCGUAAAUCUAUACGGAUGCUCUUCGACUUCUUAUCGAAGUUUUUUUUUUUGUCCCAGCUGAUAGGUCUCUAGACGUUACAGAGAACUCCGAACAACCCAAACUGUUAAUCUUCAAUACCCCUUUGUACUUACGAUCUUGUAUCCACUUACUGUCCUGUUAGAUUAAUCCAAUAAAUUUCAUUCACUCCGCAUACUCAAUCCUAUAGACACCCCUUUAAUCCUUCAAUCACAGACGUAACUCGAUUUCACAAAAUAGUCAAGAGUAUUCAAACCCACUUCAUUUAAAAAUCCCGAUUCACCAUUACAACACUGACUACAGCAGCGAUUGCCUCAGUCUUCCCAAAACUCUACGAAGAAGAAAAAUCCAAAUUCUAUGUCUUUCCUUCCUCGACCCGAAGCAUGAAGCUCCUCUCUCUAAUUCCCUUGAUCUUCAAAAACCUCCAAUGAAAAUCGAACUGGUAACCUUGCAAAAGCUUCAAAACUCGCUCCCCCCCCUAUUUUUGCGAAAAAAAACCUCCCCCUUCAAAACUAUAUCCCCCCUAACCUUAUCCUCUGAAUUUCUUCAAUCUUCCGUCUUAGAUACGGAAUUGGCUCCUACCUCAAGCUUGGAUCCGAAAUUGGCUCUCGCCGUCAAGCUUUCUCCUCCGUUUUUACCUUUAAGAAAUCCAUUUACCAAAAACAACAUUCCCUGAAACGGCACAGAGAACAGGACAGCCUGAAACAGAAUCGAACCCCGUAAUCGGGACCACAUUGAGUCGCCCGACCAAUUCAGGUCUUAUAUUGGGAAAGAUGCCCGUAGUAACCUGGAUGUUCCCGUAAUUGGGUCAAAUUGGUCCUCGCAUCAGAUUGGCUAAGACCCGUAGUAAGACCUGGAUUUCCCAUAAUUAGACUACAUUGGGUUGACCGGCCAAUUUAGGUCUCAUAUUGGAUAAGAAGACCCGGAUUGGAUUAUCAAAAUUGGAUCCAAUUGGCUCCUCGAACCCGUCGUGUGAAUUAAUCCUUCUCUUCCUGCUGACUCGUGUUAUUGGAAUCGAACGGAGCAUUUCAGUAUGCCCCGACUAACUGUAACGGAGUGACUGAACCUGACCACUCAGUAUUUGUACUGGAGUUGGUCGAUGCUCCCAAUAUUCGAGGUAACUGAAUAUUAAUAAAAUUUCCAUUUCUUUUUAUUUUCAAUGUAUACUCGUUUUACAAGAGGACACCGGAAGAAAUUACUUGCUUCAAAAAGAUAUUGGCUAAACAAGGUAGAUCGUUUGCCUUCGAAUCUCAUGAAAUUGGGUGUGUGGAUCCGAAUAUUAUAACACCUAUGGUUAUCUUCACUGUACCGCAUGUACCUUGGAAUCUAAGACCGAUUCCAGUACCGAGGGCACAUUUACCUAAAUUGGUUGAACUAUUAAAGGAAAAGAUAAAGAUGAAAAUAUUGGAACCUUCAUUUGCACCGUAUUCUAGUCGAUGGUUUACGGUACCUAAGAAGAAUGGGUCACUACGGUUUAUUCAAGAUAUGCAACCGGUGAAUGCAGUAACUGUCAAGAAUGCAGGAAUUGGACCUAUUGUAGAUGAAUUUACUGAGGCGUUUGCUGGAAGGGCGAUCUAUUCAAUAGGUGACUUGUAUUCAAGUUAUGAUCAAUUUCAACUUGCCGAAGGAAGUAGAGAUAUGACAACAAUGAGGACACCACUUGGAUUGGUUAGAAUGUGCACUCUUCCUCAAGGCGCAACCAAUUCAGUUGCGCAUAUGAUGAAUGGGAUGAAUAAGGUAUUGAGAGAUUUUAUUCCGGAAAAGACUAUGCCUUUUCUGGAUGAUGUUCCUAUAAAAGGGUGCAGAGAAGGAGACAAGGAUGAAACUUUAGAUACGAGGGGGUGUUGCAAAUAUGUUGUUGAUCAUAUACAAGAUUGUCAAAAGAUUUUAACUCGGCUUGGAAAAGUUCAUCUUACAUUAUCGAGUAUGAAGUCCGUAUUUGAAAUACGAGAGGUUGUAAUUAUUGGACAUUUAUAUGGAUCUUACGGAAGAAAACCAGAUCCGACUAAAGUUGAUGCAAUUGGAAGGAUGAAAGAGGAUUGUGAUUCUUUAACAGAGGUUUGUAGGUUUUUGGGUACAUGUGUAUUUUAUCGAAUCUGGAUCCCUCAUUUUGCUCACAUAGCGGAUCUAUUAUAUGAACUGUUAUGCAAGGGCUACCAAUUUAAAUGGGAAGAAAGGCAUAUUCAAACAAUACAAAGAUUGAAGAAAUUAUUGAUGUCACCUCCAAUAUUGAAGAAGGUUGAUUAUAAGUGCAAUAGACCAGUGAUUCUUACUGUGGACGCUAGUCCAAUUGCCAUUGGAUGGGCUAGGGGUCAAGAUGAUUUAAGUAGGAAUAGAUUUGCAGUUCGAUUUGGAGCUAAAGUUUUAAGUAUUCGUUAGCGUACAUAUUCGCAAGUCAAAAGAGAACUUUGGAGAGUUGUUUUGGCUAUGAAAGCUGAAAAGGACUAUUUGAUUGGGGCAGUAGUAGUAAUUGAAACAAAUUGCUUGCCAUUGCUUGGAAUGAUUAUUAACUGUUCAACGCCAGGUAUUGUAAUGUUGAGAUGGAUUGCUUAUAUUAAGUCACUAAAUCUAGAAUUUAAGCAUGUUACUGAGAAGGACAAUUUAGUAGUAGACAUGCUAUCUCAAACAAGAUACGAGAGGGAGGACGAAAUGGUUGAAGACAUUGAUGACGUCGGAUUGAAAUUCUAUUCAAUAUCAAAUCUCAACAGAGAAGACAAGCUAUUUCUUGAAGAAUCUUAUGAAGGAGAAUUAUUAGAUAUUGGUCAUUACUUGAAUACCUUGACUAAGCAGGGGAAUUGAUCUACAAAAAAAUUCAAACAAAUAAAAAAAAAAGCAUAUGGAUUUUUGCUUCGAGAUGGAUUCUCAUGGAAGAGACCGAAGAAAGGAAUUGAGAUGCCACAACGAGUGAUAGGCAAAAAGGAAGAAAAAUUAAAAUUAUUAAAGGAGUUUCAUGAUAGUUUAUGGGCAUGGCAUAGAGGAAUCUGGUCUACUUUUGCUAAACUCAAUGAACGAUAUUGGUGAAAAAAUAUGUAUCGAGAUGUACUCUCAUUUGUAGAGUCAUGUGAAAUCUGUCAAUCGUAUUCUAAUAUCUGACAUCGAGAUGGUCUUCAUCCUACGUAUCCUCUGACUAUUCAUUUUAAAUGGGUUGUUGAUUUGGUUAUUAUGCCAGUUGGGUUAUGGCAGAUGAGAUAUUUGGUUUUAGCUCGUGAAGAUUUAUCAAAUCAAGUAGAAGGAAGAGCAUUGAGGACAAAAUUUACAGAGGGGAUUUGGAGGUUUUUGCUUGAAGAUGUCAUUUGCCAUUACGGAUGCGUAGGAAAAAUCACUGCAGAUCGUGGAGAAUUAAAUGCAUAAGAAGCUUGUAAGUUCUUUGAAAGAUGUGGAGUUAAACUAUCACUGACUACUGCUUAUAAUCCGGAAGGGAAUGCAAAAAGCGAACACGGUCACCCACAGAUUGUGAAAGCAUUAGUUAAAGCUUGUAAUGGAAAAGUUAAAGAGUGGCCACGACUUUUGUCAUUUGCAUUACGGGCUGAUCGAACAACACAUAGUUUGGUGACAGGAUAUAUGCCAGUAGAACUUAUGAUAGGUCGAAAACCAAUUAUGCCGAUUGAAGAAAAGGUACUUACUUGGAGUAUGCUACCAUGGGAAGAUGGAUUGACAAGAGAAGAACUUCUGGCUGUUAGGAUUCGACAAUUGGAGCAAAGAUCGGAAGAUGUGCAAAUAGCAUUGGAAAGGUUAAAAAGAGCAAGGUUACAAAACAAGGCGCAAUUUGAUAAGCAACAUUGAUUGAGACCUAAAUCAAUCGAAGAAGGUGACUGGGUACUUGUUUAUGACAAUAGUCUGGAUUAUCAACAUAGUACUUUGCAAAAAUUUUAUAAAUGUUGGUUUGGACCAUAUGUAGUAACAACUGUUCAUGAUAAUGCGACUUACUCAUUACGGGAGUUAGAUGGUACAAAAUUGAAAAUACCAAUUACAGAGAAUUGAAUAAAAAUAUUUAAACGAAGACACGCGGAGAUGAAUAUGGAAGACCUUAAUGAAGGUAUAGAGAUUCCGUAGCAAGAAGAUGAAAGUGAUUUGGAUAAUGAAGGUGACGAAGAUGAACUGGACAAAGACGUAGAGAAUAUAUUCUAAAUCAAACAGUAAUUGGAUAAAUUGGUGCAUAUUGGAGGUUGCACAGGUUCAGAGGGGGUGGAUGUCGUGUUGUAACACGAGUAUACUGUGAAAUUAUAAAGAAAGAGGACUUUUAUUAAUGUUCAGUUACCUUGAAUAUUGGGAGCAACGAUCAAUUCCAGUGCAAAUACUGGGAGGCCAGGGUCAGUCACCCCGUUACAAUCAGCCGGGGCAUACUGAAAUGCUCCGUUCGAUUCCAAUAAUGGGAGUCAGCAAAAAAGAAAAACGACCAAUUCAAUGACGAAUGAGCCUGGUUCGAAGAGCCAAUUGGAUUCAAUUUCAAGACAUCCAAUCUAGGUCCUCUUAUCCAAUAUGAGACUUGAAUUGGUCGGGCAACCCAAUGUAGUCUAAUUAUGGGAAAAUCCAAGUCUUACUACGGGCCUCAGCCAAUCUAACGCGAAGGACGAAUUCGAUCCAAUUACGGGAACAUCUGGGUCUUACUACUGGACUCUUACUCAAUAUGUGACCUGAAUUGGUCGGGCGACUCAAUGUGAUCCCGAUUAUGGGGUUUUGAUUCUGUUUCAGGCUGUAUUGUUUUCUGUGUUGUUUUAAGGAAUGUAGUUUUCGGUAAAAAGAUCUCUUAAAGGUAAAAAUGGAGGAAAAAGCUCUGACGAGGGAGUGAAUUCCGGAUCCUGGCUCUGAAGGCGGGAGCCAAUUUCGGAUCGAAGAUGGAAGAUUGAAGAAAUUCAAAAUUAAGAUUAAGAAAUGAGAGGGGAGAUGGAAUAAGUUUUUUGGAAUUUUGAAGGAUCGGAGAGCUAGCUUCAUGCUUCGGGGCAGAAAAAAAAGACAGAGAGUUGGGUUUUUUUUCUUCAUAAGGUUUUGGGAAGACUGAGGCAAUCGUUGCUGAAGUCAGUGUUGUAAUAGUGAAUCGGGAUUUUUAAUGAAGUGGGUGUGAUUACUCUUGACUGUAUUGUGAAAUCCGAGUUACGUCUGUGAUUGGAGAAUUAAAAAGGUGUCUAUAGGAUUGAGUAUGUGGAGUGAAUGAAAUUUAUUAAAUUAAUCUAACAAGACAGUCAGUGGAUACAAGAUCGUGAGUAUAAAGCGGUAUCGGAGAUUAGUAGAUUGGAUUGUUCGGGAUUCUCUGUAAUGUCUAAAGACCUACCAAUUGGGGCAAAAAGGACUUCGACGAGCAGUCAAAAGGCAUCCGUAUAGAUUUACGGUAUAUUCUUGUAGUCGUUUAUAUUCCAACAGUCAAAAAUCGAUAGACUGCUUGAAUAUUGGUGAAUCUCUAUACUACCUUCUACAGCCAGACGCCCGAAUCGUUCUCGAGCAGGAAAGCACGUAAUACGACAGCGGAGUGAAUGAAAUUUACUGGAUUAAUCUAAGAAGACAAUCAGUGGAUACAAGAUCAUGAGUAUAAAGCGGUAUCGAAGAUUAGCAGUUUGGGUUGUUUGGGGUUCUCUGUAAUGUCUACAGACCUACCGGCUGGAACAAAAAGGAUUUGGGCGAGCAGUCGAAGGACAUCCGUAUAGAUUUAUGGUAUAUUCUUGUAGUUGUUUAUAUUCCAACAGUCAAAAACUGAUAGACUGCUUGAAUAUUGGCGAAUCUUCAUACUACCUUCUAUAGCCAGACGCUUGAAGCGUUCUCGAGCAGGAAAGCACGUAAUACGACAAUGGAUACAAUGGAGGACUUGGAUCUAAAGCAAUUACUACCUACGACAUUGGUCUUACGAAUGGCAGAUCGUAGUCAGGUAAAGCCAAUAGGAAUCUUACGCAAUAUUGCCACUGUAAUUGCGGGAUUGACAUACAAAAUUGAUUAUAUUGUAUUCUGAUUAUAGAGUUCUAUAUUAUCGUAUCCCAUUUUAUUGGGCAAACCUUGGCUUUAUCAAGCCAAAGCUAAGAACGAUUGGGGCCAAGGCACAUUGACAAUUAGAAAAGGUUGUAACCAGAUUGUUUUACAGAUGUAUCCGGUAUAAUAUCAUGGAGAAUCUCAAUUAUCAGAAUCAAAAUUUACAUUGAACAUCGAGACUCAAUUGAUUAAGGCGGAUGGCGUUGCUAUAGGUUCACAAUAAUUUGGGGUAGGAUAAAAUACUUUAAUAGCAAAGACAGGAGUCUACCAAUGUGGAGGUUUCGGCAAAUAUUUAUUGCAUCAGGAGAAUGUGACUAACUCGGAUCAUGCUAUUGCCGAAUGGAUGAAUAAUUCCACAGUCAAUAGAGUGAGCACAUUGGAACUAGAUUUGGGUGGUUCCCAUAUGUCAAAUAAUAGAAGAUAUUCAGUUGAUGUGUGUGAGUACCAGAUUAUUUUGGAGCAGGAUGUUAUGCCAGUUCGUCAAAGAAAACACUGGCUUAACCCAAAAUAUUUCCUUUUAGUGAAAGAAGAAUUGGAUAAACUUCUUGACGUGGAUUUUAUUUAUCCAAUACCAAAUAGUGAGUGGGUUUUUUCAAUCAUGAUGGUGCCAAAGAAAAUGAGAAAAUAUAAAUUUAUCAGGAUUUCUCGAAACUUAAUACAGCCACCAAGAAAGAUUACUUCCCAAUACCUUUCACAGACAAUAGGAGUAACAUGUUGUCAUUAUCACCAAGUAGUAAAAGAAUAAGAGUGGGGCACCAGUUAAAGUCAUUCUGUGGUGUUGUUUUGGAUUGGCUAGAGUGCCAUUUUCUUAUAUUUCUUGUCUUUUUGAGAGUAGUGGUUUCAGUUAAGAGCUAAUAGUGAAGAUCUGGUCACAAGUAUCAAUUGAAGAUGUUCUAGAAUGGAUGAGUCAGCAGAAGCAACAAUUGGAACUUUGGAAUGUCCAGAUCUUGAAAUUGGAAGCUCAAGUCUAUGUACUGGGUGAGUAUAAUGAAGAUCUGUCAAACCAGUUGAGGCAAGAGUCGAUGGAAGGAUUGGAAGAGGACGAGAUUUGUAGUUGGAACUGGAAUUGGUGGAACCAAUAACAGAUAUUGCGGCAAUUGAUUAAUUAGAUAGGCCAGAGGAACUAGUAAUUUUUGUAGAAUUUUAUUAGAUAAUUUUUAGAUAGGUAUCAAUUGAGUAUUUGAGAGGACGUUGCAUAGUUAGGAGUGGGGCUAUGUAGAAUAAGUAGUUAUUUUCAAAAUGUAGAUAUCUAGUGUAUAGUAUAAAUAGAGAUAGAUAACUGCUGAAAAAGUGGUUCAGUAGGUAGAAUAGAUGAAUAGUCAAGAAAAGUAGUUAUCAUCUGUAGUAUAGGAGUUGAUAUCUCAGGGUAGUAUAAGGAGGAUGGGAGAGGGGAAGAAAAUACCAGACUGUGAGAGCUAUAAGCCAAGGGCUAGAAUGCAAUAGUACUGAGCCAAAGAUAAGCUUGGUGCUAUUUCUUCUUCUUAGUUUUCUUAUUUCUUUUGUAUUAAUAUUGAUUCUAGUGAAGAGAAUCGAUUUAAUGAAUUAAUGUUUGAUUUACAAAGUUGUUUAUGGAUUACUAUUUAUCAAUUGUUGUGAAAGAUUGAAGACGUAUGGAAGUUUUCAGUCAUUGUUUAUCGCAAGGUUGUAAGUUUAGUGGAGAAGAAUUAUAAUCGAAGGAAUUGUCUUGAUGAGAUUUUGUGGAUUGGAAGUUGUUCGUUCUAGGGUUUGGGAUAUGCUUGUGUGUUCGUGAAUUAUACAGGGUACUAAAAUCGUUGUUGUGGAUGUUAUUAUAUUGAUAUGAAAGAGUGGACAGUAGGAAGAAAAGUUAAGUGUUCUUUAGUAUGGUAAGCAUUCAGUAGUAGAGGUUAAUUACAUGACCCUAACAAUUGGAGCUCAUAUACAUGGUCUUUUCUUGUGUUUGAAUCCCCCUAUACGGGUUUAUUCUGGGAGGUUUCUUCGGGAAUAAGUAAUACGAGCAAUCACAGUUUGAUUUGAGUUAGGAUUUGGUUAGGAUUUGAUUUAGGAUUUAGAAUUUAUUAAGGUUAGGAUAUGGUUUAGGAUUUAUUAAGGUUAGGGUAUGAUUUAGGAUUUAGUUUAGGAUUUAGGAUUUAGGAUUUGGUUUAGGAUUUGAUUUAGGGUUUAGAAUUUGGAUUAGGAUUUGGAUUAGAAUUUGAAUUAGGAUUUGGGUUAGGAUUUAGGAUUUGGUUUAGGAUUUGAUUAGGGAUUGGUUUAAGAUUCAGGAUUUGAUUAAGGUUUGAUUAGGAUUUAGUUUAGGAUUUAGGAUUUAUCUAGGAUUUGAUUAAGGUUUGAUUAUGAUUUGGUUUAGGAUUUAGGAUUUAUCUAGAAUUUGAUUAAAGUUGGAUUAGGAUUAAGAGUUGGUUAGAAUUUAAGGUUUUAUUAGGUUUUUGUUUGGAUUUGACUAAGUUUUCUUUGAUAUUCUUUUAUAUUUCUUUAGGAUUUCUUUGUGUUUUUUUUAUAACUUCAAUAAAAUUUAAUUGAGCUUUCUUAAUAUUUGAUUAUGAUUAUUAAUAUUUAAUUAUAAAUACUCUAUAAUCCUAUUGGAUUGUUAGGAUAUUUUGUUGCAAUUUUCUUUUAUCUUCCACAGUCAGGUACUCGAGUAUUUUCAAGCAAGACUUCACGUAAUACAAAAACGGAGGGUACUUGAUUCAAUGAUGUCGGUAG
rnacentral:lncRNA from 1 species